CCUCUCCCCUCCUCUCUCGCCCGUCGUCCACCAUCCGACGCCGCCCCCUUUCCCAACCGACAUCACCCCUUCCCCAGCCGACGCCGCCCCCAACCCAGUCACCACUCCCGCCUCCUCCUUCUCUCUCCUUCCCAUCUCCCAUCACCCGUCACCCUUCGCCCCGUUGUCGUCGCCCGACUCCGUCGCUCGUCACCCGCGUGUCGUUCGUCGCCUUGGCCAUUGUCUGUCACCUGCCGCCAUCACAGUCCUUGGAGGGGUAGAAGAAGAUAGACUUGCGAGGUGCAUUCGUAGGUUGGCUCUUAACUUGAAGAUGUAGGAAAUUGUAAAGAAGAACAUCGCAGGUGCUAGCGGUGACAACUUCUCUGAAGAUAUCUGAAUUGUUCGGUGGCUCUCUCUCUGUACGUCUCUCCCAGCGUCUGCUUAUACUAUCAGAAACUAGUUUGUUUGUUUUCUUGUGCAGUAUGCUUCCAGUGUUUGUGAUUUUGUUGUACCAGACUCUAUAUUAGCUGGUGAUGUCUUUCUUUCGACUUUGAGUGAAGGAUCUUAGUAGGCUUAGCUUCGUAGGUGACGACUAGGUCCGCUCCUUACCAGCUGUUUCUCUUCUUUGAUCCUUCCUCUCUGCUUCUAUGUUGGACUUGUAAUAGACUUUUCAUCUUAGUUACAUAUAUUAUUAUUGAA